rnacentral:lncRNA from 1 species
UUUUUUUUUUUUAAUUUCAUGUAUCCUGGACUGAGUGCUGGAGAAGCCAACAACCCAUCAACACAGACAAAAAAGCCACAGGAAAAGCAAGCUUUCUCUAGCCAAAUGACAAGAAAAAGAGCAGCCUAGCAAGACAAAACUUACAGACAAUAAUUCUCUAUUCCAACAGCACACUACAGAAAACGCUGAACUCCAAUAUCCCUACUCCCUCAUUCUCCACCUGAAAGGCCCAGUCGGUAGCCCAAACUCUCACCUUUGGCCAGCAGCUGAGGUGGUUUCAGAGAAGGCCAAUUGUGGAACUGAGAUCUUUAACCUUAUUUGGUAGUAUCACUGCCAUCUUCACACUUGCUAACCCCAGCCUGAUCGGAAGCUCAGAGCACUUGAGUGUGGUUCUUAAAGAGAAAAAUAACUUUUGAUUUAUAUGGCUGGGACACCGUGGUUGGGAGAAACCUCCACUGUCAGGAGACAGUAAGUAAUCAGUAAGGAUCAGUAAGAGGGUUGGGCAGAUUUCCAGAAAUCAACUUCCAGUCAACCCGGAGAUCAUAGUCUUAAUAGAAUCGUCUUCUAAAUAUCCUGCUAUAAAUUUCCUCCAUAUCCUGAAAUUUUGGGGGCUGGCUUUCACAAGGUAAGUUAUAUUCUUUGGCUUUUCCCAAUUCUGGCUUAAGGUGAAACUUCCCUUGUGUAUCACACUAGUCCUUCUGUUAUUUGGUUUUCAGAAUUUUGCUACUGCUUUCUACUUUCCCAUUAUUGUCCUUUUGUACUUAUGAACGGCUCUCUCUCCUUUUUUCUUUUUUCUUUCUUUCUUUCUUUUCUUCCUUCCUUCUCUUUCUUCUCUCUCUCUCUCUCUCUCUCUGAAUUUUUGGCUAGAAAGAUAGCAGAUGCCUGUCUUCAAUACGCGAUUAUUGUAAACAGGUCUAUUUCUAACUUACUAUGAUUUUUCAUAAUGCUUGAUAUUCAGAGGAUUAACAAAAUAAUACAGUAGGCAAUGAAAAGGAUGCUAUCCUUUAUGCUCAGAUUAAAAUCCUAAAGGGACUCCAGCCUCCACCUAGAAUAUAGAAAGUUGGAAAGAAUAUUGCUCCUAAUCUAACAAUGAAAAAGUCCGCAUAGGCCGGGGGCGGUGGAUCACGCCUGUAAUCCCAGCAUUUUGGGAGGCUGAGGUGGGCGAAUCACCUAUUACCUGACGUCAAGAGUUUGAGACCAGCUUGGCUAACAUGGUGAAACCCUGUCUCUACUAAAAAUACAACAACAACAAAAAAAACUAGCAGGGCAUGGUGGCUCAUGCCUGUAAUCGCAGCUACUCGGGAGGCUGAGACAGGAGAAUUGCUUCAACCCGGCAGGUGGAAGUUUCAGUGAGCCGAGAUGGAGCCAUUGCACUCCAGCUUGGGCGAUAAGAGUGAAACUCCAUCUCGAAAAAAAAAGAAAAGAAAAGAAAAAAGAAAGAAAAGUCCACAUAGUCUAGAGAAGCAUAAUUUUCCUUGAACCCACGAAAAAGUUAAGGUCUCAGACAACCACGUAGCCUGAAAUCUAUGGAAAAAUAUGUGCUUCCAAGUAGAAAUGAGAAAUGAAUACUGGCUCAACCAUAGCAAUAGGAUGAUGAUGAGGCCUCCAUGCGAGAGGGUAAGAAAAAUUCAGCAAAAAUUCAAUAUUUUAUGACUUGCUGAAUUUAGUCUAAGUGUUUAUGUCUAAGAAGGAAAUUCUAGAACCCCUAGGAUCAAGUACUCAAGAAGAGUUUUCACACUUUUGCAGGCUUUUCUUCACAAUUCUCAUAGUACUGCUGUCCUCCAUGUUGCAGGAGAAUUGGUUCCAGGACCCGCAAGAAUACCAAAAUCCACUGAUGCUCAAGUCCCUUAUAUAAAAUAACCUAUGCACAUCUUCCUGUAUACUUUAAAUCAUCUCUAGAUUAUUUAUAAUACCGAAUAUAAUGUAAAUCCUAUGUAAAUUGUUGCUAUACUGUAUUUUUUUAUUGUUGCAUUGUUUUUAUUUUUUUCAAAUAUUUUUGAUCCUUGGUUGGUUGAGUCUACAGAUGUAGAACCCGUGCUCAUAAGAAAUGAUGGAGCAGGGCAAGAGAUCAGAGAAAGCCCCUUUCAGUGGAACAGGACUGAGAGAAUAGCCUGUCCCUAAAGAAAGAAAGCUUAAGCACUUACGGAGUAGCAGCAAACAUGGUUAUAUCCAGAGAGCAGAAAAUUCACAGGAGCUGAAGAAAGUAAAAAAGAAUGAAAAUUUCUACUUCAAGGGAGUAUUAGGUACAGAAUAUCAGAGAAUGUCAACUUCUGGGAGCAGGCAGAAUGACCUCAGAGACCCUGAUCACAGAGUCUGCCUGUCUUAGUCUAUUUUGGGUUGCUAUAACAGAAUACCUAAGCUUACGUAAUUUAUAAAGAAAAGAGUCUUAUUUGGCUUAUGAUUCUGGUGGCGGGAAGGUUCAACCACAUGAUCAUCUCAACAGACAUAGAAAAACAUUCAAUAACAUUCAACACCCAUUAAUGAUUUUUAAAAAAUUAGUAAACUGGGAAUAGAGAGGAGCUUCUUCAACUUGAUAAAAAGCAUCUGCAAAAAAAAUGUAAUAUCAUACUUAAUGGUGAAAGACUGAAUGACUUCUCAAGAUAGGGAAUGUCUGACAAGAAUAUCUGCUCUUACCACUCUUUUUUUUUUUUUUUUUGAGACAGAGUCUCACUCUGUCGCCCAGGCUAGAGUGCAGUGGCACGAUCUGGGCUUACUGCAAACUCCGCCUCCCGGGUUCACGCCAUUCUCCUGCCUCAGCCUCCGGAUUAGCUGGGACUACAGGCGCCCGCCACAACGCCCGGAUACCGGCUAAUUUUUUUGUAUUUUUAGUAGAGACGGGGUUUCUAGUAGAGACGGGGUUUCACUGUAUUAGCCAGGAUGGUCUAGAUCUCCUGACCUCGUGAUCCGCCCGCCUCGGCCUCCCAAAGUGCUGGGAU